AAACCUUGAAGUGAAAAAAAUAUUCUCUAAGUUAUAUCUGUUCUUAUCAGUUUAAUAUCUGAUAUGUUCUCGAUGUGAGAACUUUAUAUUAAAUGGAUUUUUGGAACAGGGAGAUGGAAUAGGAGCUUGCUAAAUCAACUCUAUGCAUCAACCUGGUAUUGCAGUACUGCCGGGCAUGGUGCGUCUCCC